AAGUCGUAACAAGGUUUCCGUAGGUGAACCUGCGGAAGGAUCAUUAUUGAAUAAACUUGGCAUGGGUUUGAUGCUGGCUUUUUAAUGAGCAGGUGCACGCCUAUCCAUUUUUUAAUCCCCUGUGCACCUUUGUAAACCUGAGCCUUUCAAAAUGAAACAAUUAUUUCAUUUGGCCUAAGAAUUGUCAUGAUGCUGCAAAUGCAAGUCAGGACUUUUCUUGUUUCAGGUUUAUGUUUUUCAUAUACUCUAUAAAAAUCAAUCAGAAUGUUUGGUUAUUAUUGGCUUUUGUGCCUUUAACAAUUUAUAUACAACUUUCAACAACGGAUCUCUUGGCUCUC
rnacentral:misc_RNA from 1 species